rnacentral:sRNA from 1 species
ACCGCUUGGCGCGCGCGCGUCCCGGAGGGCGCCCAGGGGGCGCCGCUUCCCGUUCAGCUCCGCUCAGGGGCUGGUCCAGCCUGCGCGGCUCGGAGCGGAAAGAGUCGGGCGGAGCAGGCGGCGGAGCGGGCGGCUGCUUGACAGCUGAGAGCCGAGCGGGCGGCGCGGGCAGGUCCACGGGAAGCCUACACGCCCAAGGUCAUGCCCUGACCACAGCUGCCCUUCAGGAGGCUGGCACGGAGCCACCUGGGGCCAUUGGGCUGUUUGUCAAGGGUGGGGCAGCAGCAACUUGCCACUCUUCCUCCAUGAGCCCAGCCAGAGCCUCCACUGGCCACUUAGCACAAGAAAAACCCUGCAGGAGCCGGAUCCAGAGCGCUGGGAUUCAGCAGGAGUGCCAGGAGAAUUCAACACAGGUGUGCUGCCUCCUCUCCUGCCAGGCGUGUGGCUGCACAGGAGUCUUGCUGAUGGUAAGAAUCGGAGUUCCUGGAUUCAGUGGGUACUGGGAGCAGCCGCCUGUGAGAAGGCUGGGCCAAACAAACAAAUGUUCUGAAUGAGGAUAAGAAAACAGCAUUUCUCCUGAGGGUCUCUGAUUUUCUGUAGCCUGCCCCUGGCUUGAAAACUGUCAGCUUAGCAAAGUGGACUCUCAAACCACCUGGAUCUCAUGUUUUUUGCUUGUCAGAUUCAUUGAGAGCUGCAGAAUAGGCUCAACAUCCCACAGGGUCUGCUUCUCUGACUGGGACAAAAGCGCUCAUAAGAAACUGAUGGGAGCGGCUUCACCGGGGGUGGCAGACAAUUCUGGCCAGGAGUGGGUGUCCGCAGUGGGCAAGAAGUGUGGGCUCCAUGCCAGGAGCAGUGGCGACAGCUUCUAGAAAUUGUCUAAUAGCCUGACAUCCUAAAGAAUGUCCUGGAGAGCUGGAAAAGCGGUUCUUCCAGACACAUGCAGGGAGCAGUGAAAUGAGAUGCAGUAGAAGGUUGAAUCCAGCUGGGAGCACAGUGCAAUUUAGUUAAGAGUGACUUCUGUGGCAUCUGCUGGUCGUGGGUGAGGGCUGGGGGAAGAUAAUACUAAUUUGGCCAUUAUUACACAUGUCUUUCUUGAAUCUUCAAUCAGAUUGUCAACUCCUUGAGGGUAGUAAUGGAAUAUUUUAUGUCUUUUGCAUUCUUCACAAGGUCGGGUACUCAGCCAUUGUUUAUUGGUUGACUAUUUGAUGCAUUCCGACACAAUACACUUGACCGGGCCAGGUCCUGGGAUCUUCAUUCAUAGGAGCAGUGUUGUCACCAGUAUCUGUUGGGCACCUGCUGAGAAGGAGCAGUGGCGGGUACUUUUGCCACCCGAGUUGGCCUGAGGUUGCUGAGUGUAUGAGUUUCCUAGGGCUGCCUUAACAAAGUGCCACCAACUGGGUGAUUAACAGAAAUGUCAGGUCUCCCAGUUCUAGAGGCGAGAGGUCUGCAACCAAGGUAUCAGCAGGGCCUGACCCCUCUGUGGUGUAUAGGAGGCCCCUCCUUGCCUCGCCCUGGCUUCUGACGAUUUGCCGGCCGACUGUGGUCUUCCUUGGCUUGCAGCUGCGUCACUCCAAUCCCUGCCUUUAUCAUCACAUGGCAUUCUCCCUGUGUGUGUGUGUUUCCAAAUUUUCCCAUUUUUAUAAGGACACCAGCCAUAUUAGGAACCGCCCUACUCCAGUAUGACCUCAUGUUAACUCAUUACAUCUUCAGCAACCCCGUUUCCAAAGAAGGUCACAUUCUGAGGUACUAGGGGUUAGGACUUCAAUGUGGAGAUCACAGUUCAAGCUGCCACACUAAGUGAGCUCAUUCACAGUGACAAGACUAGGGACAUACAAAGGGCCGGGGUGAAUAUGAAUGGUGUUCCAUGGUGCUGCCUGAAAGUGACUGGCAGCAGUGUCAGCAGGGGAGCAUGUCCUCUGUUCUCAGCAUUCACUAGAGAGGUGUGCCGAGCUGGGGCCCAGCUGGACACAUUGGAUGCUGUGCUCCAGAGGAGGAACUGCACUCACCUAUCGCUCUCCUUUGUAUGGGACAAGUGGGACAGAGCCUUGAUGGGGGGAACACACCACUGGGGUUCCAGGCAGCCUUAACUAUCGAGGAAUGGCAGGAAAUUCUGUCUGCCCAGCACCUGGUGACCCUGGAGCUCCUCAGUUUCCCGGGAAGUUGAGUUUUGGAGCAGUCUCUUCCAGAGAGGCUGGGAGUGCAUCACUUUCCCCCUGGAGGUGGCGUAGGCUGCUGGGCCCAACUAGCUCAUUGCCAGGCAAUCCAGAGAGAGUUCCAGACACCAGAUACUGAACAACCUACUUGUCUCCACACCUAGUAAAGCUUGGAUCCAAUGCUGCCAACUUUUCUGCCUCUCCAGUUUUGGAGCCCUUAAUGUGAAGGUGCAACCCAGAAGCCUGCAGGCUGUUCGUAGCCUGUAGAUGUGUUUUCUUCCCAGUAGCUGGUGUACACAGUGUUUUUGUAUUAUUUUUCAAAUAAGCAAUACAUUUGUGUGGUUCAAAAAUUAAAGCGCUAUAGAAAGGU